UUGGAGGGCAAGUCUGGUGCCAGCAGCCGCGGUAAUUCCAGCUCCAAUAGCGUAUAUUAAAGUUGUUGCAGUUAAAAAGCUCGUAGUUGAAUUUCGGGAUCAAUUUAUUGGUCGUGCUAUUGUACGUACUGGUAUUAUUGAUUCCUACCUUCUGACGAACCAUGAUGUCAUUAAUUUGGUGUCUUGGGGAAUCAGGACUGUUACUUUGAAAAAAUUAGAGUGUUUAAAGCAGGCUCACGCUUGAAUACAUUAGCAUGGAAUAACGAAAUAGGACGUUUGAUUCUAUUUUGUUGGUUUCUAGGAUCGACGUAAUGAUUAAUAGGGAUAGUUGGGGGCAUUAGUAUUCAAUUGUCAGAGGUGAAAUUCUUGGAUUUAUUGAAGACUAACUACUGCGAAAGCAUUUGCCAAGGAUGUUUUCAUUAAUCAAGAACGAAAGUUAGGGGAUCGAAGACGAUCAGAUACCGUCGUAGUCUUAACCAUAAACUAUGCCGACUAGGGAUCGGAUGAUGUUAAUUUUCUAAUGACUCAUUCGGCGCCUUACGGGAAAC
rnacentral:rRNA from 1 species